CUUCCGUAGGGUGAACCUGCGGAAGGAUCAUUACAGUAUUCUUUUGCCAGCGCUUAACUGCGCGGCGAAAAACCUUACACACAGUGUCUUUUUGAUACAGAACUCUUGCUUUGGUUUGGCCUAGAGAUAGGUUGGGCCAGAGGUUUAACAAAACACAAUUUAAUUAUUUUUACAGUUAGUCAAAUUUUGAAUUAAUCUUCAAAACUUUCAACAACGGAUCUCUUGGUUCUCGCAUCGAUGAAGAACGCAGCGAAAUGCGAUAAGUAAUAUGAAUUGCAGAUUUUCGUGAAUCAUCGAAUCUUUGAACGCACAUUGCGCCCUCUGGUAUUCCAGAGGGCAUGCCUGUUUGAGCGUCAUUUCUCUCUCAAACCCCCGGGUUUGGUAUUGAGUGAUACUCUUAGUCGGACUAGGCGUUUGCUUGAAAAGUAUUGGCAUGGGUAGUACUGGAUAGUGCUGUCGACCUCUCAAUGUAUUAGGUUUAUCCAACUCGUUGAAUGGUGUGGCGGGAUAUUUCUGGUAUUGUUGGCCCGGCCUUACAACAACCAAACAAGUUUGACCUCAAAUCAGGUAGGAAUACCCGCUGAACUUAAGCAUAUCAAUAAGCGGAGGAA
rnacentral:rRNA from 1 species